GUCGAGCGGACAGAUGGGAGCUUGCUCCCUGAUGUUAGCGGCGGACGGGUGAGUAACACGUGGGUAACCUGCCUGUAAGACUGGGAUAACUCCGGGAAACCGGGGCUAAUACCGGAUGGUUGUUUGAACCGCAUGGUUCAAACAUAAAAGGUGGCUUCGGCUACCACUUACAGAUGGACCCGCGGCGCAUUAGCUAGUUGGUGAGGUAACGGCUCACCAAGGCAACGAUGCGUAGCCGACCUGAGAGGGUGAUCGGCCACACUGGGACUGAGACACGGCCCAGACUCCUACGGGAGGCAGCAGUAGGGAAUCUUCCGCAAUGGACGAAAGUCUGACGGAGCAACGCCGCGUGAGUGAUGAAGGUUUUCGGAUCGUAAAGCUCUGUUGUUAGGGAAGAACAAGUACCGUUCGAAUAGGGCGGUACCUUGACGGUACCUAACCAGAAAGCCACGGCUAACUACGUGCCAGCAGCCGCGGUAAUACGUAGGUGGCAAGCGUUGUCCGGAAUUAUUGGGCGUAAAGGGCUCGCAGGCGGUUUCUUAAGUCUGAUGUGAAAGCCCCCGGCUCAACCGGGGAGGGUCAUUGGAAACUGGGGAACUUGAGUGCAGAAGAGGAGAGUGGAAUUCCACGUGUAGCGGUGAAAUGCGUAGAGAUGUGGAGGAACACCAGUGGCGAAGGCGACUCUCUGGUCUGUAACUGACGCUGAGGAGCGAAAGCGUGGGGGAGCGAACAGGAUUAGAUACCCUGGUAGUCCACGCCGUAAACGAUGAGUGCUAAGUGUUAGGGGGUUUCCGCCCCUUAGUGCUGCAGCUAACGCAUUAAGCACU
rnacentral:rRNA from 1 species